AACUGUCUAAGGUUCUUUAAUUAGAUUAAAAGGGAACGCGGUAGCGUUAAAAGUUUUAUUGCUAGUAAACCGCGGCUGCCCCCGCAACUGUGUGUGGUGAGUUCGGGCUCUUUAUAACCACUGGCGACUUUUUUGAUAAAUAGCCGGGAAGGUAGAGCCAUUCGCGUUGACCCACAAGCCAGGAGACCUGCCUGAGACU
rnacentral:ncRNA from 1 species